CCUGUGACAGCGGCGGGGGUGUGAGUUCAGCUGGGGUACCAGAUGUUGAAGAACUGCCAGGUGCUAGCGAUGAUACCACGCUACAAAUGAAUAAAGAGGAUGUGGACGGGUCAAUCUUCAGCCUACCGGCACAAGUGAAUGUCUCGUGUCUAUGCUUGUGUGUUCGCCCAAAUGUUAAUAAAGCUGAUGCCUAUGUCCCUAAUGAGCCCUAUGUUAUG